UUCAGCCUAAAAUUAAGUUAAAAGUUAAGUCACGGAAUAAACUCCUUGAAUUAGUUCAAUGCUACAAAAACAACAUAAGGAUUUAAAAAGAAGAAAAAUAUCGUGUAGUUUGAUUCUGAUUGGUUUGUGUGGACGUGGACAAUCAAUUUACAUUUUCCAAUAAGGAGUUUUCUUUAACAAAAUGCAAGUAAUCGUGUCUUAAAUCAAUUUUCGCUUGUAAAAUAAAAUGAUAUACGCGCUUGUAAAACUGAAAAACGACGAACUCAAAAUGCCACUUAAAAACUUCCUUAAUCCCAUUGACAUACUCAUUGUUUUUUCAAGCUUACGUUUUUCCUACUCAACCCGGAAAGCAUUAACCCAUUUAACCAUUUCUUGGCUAUUCAAACACUGUUGUACAAAAAUUUUCGUUGAAAUCUCGUUAGUCGCUUAAGAGAAAAUUAGAAAUCAAGAAAACAGUUCUGGGAUAGGUACCGUUUAUAACGGUUAUACAAAUAUAUUUUUUUGUUUUCUAAAGUAAGACUAUCGACCCAACAGGAGCAAAUAUAUAUGCAUAAAUAUUCAGCCAUUGUAAUUCCUGAGACAACUACCACCGCCCAGUAGAGUUUAAAUUUAUACCGCGAUCAGUUAAGAACAACAAAGCGGUCUGAAUAUAUUGGAUGAGCACAUAAUUUCAAUGGACAAGGAAGAAGCAGUUAACUUUCCGACACCCAGUCGGCAUACUACCGUGGCUAAACGCCAACCAAACCAACCCAACUCAACCAAUUCUAAAACUGGACAUCCAGGUCCAAAUACUCCGAGGACAACCUUGUCAGCAGCCUUUUUAAAUUAAGUUUAUCUAUGAAUAAUAUUUGUUUAUAUUUUAUAACUAAGUCUUUGUAUAAGGUAAGGCUCCCCCCAGCCCUGUGCCUAAAAAAUUUUGUAUCAAUCGUUGUAUCUUAGAAAUAAGUUGAUUUUAAGUCAAUUGUAAAUAACAAGUUCAUAAACUAAAUUGAAUUGAAAUUGAACUGACAUUUUAUCUAAAACAUUUAGUUCACCAUGAAUCGCCAUCGAAUCACAAGUAGAAAUCGUGGAGCUGAAAAUCAAUACGGGAAGAACGAAGUGAAAGUGGCCACAAAAAAGUGUCUUUAUAAGGGUGAAAAAACAUUUUUUUGGAAUUGUGAAUUCAAUUUUCGAAUUCCUCGGAAAAUUCUACACAAUUUCAUAAUGAUUCUUUAUAAAAGAGUGACCCCAAAAAAAAGUUCUAGCUACAUGAAAAAGUAUAAACCAAAUCUGCAAAAAAGAGGUGUACCUACAGAGGGUUAAGCUCUCAAAAAAAAUAUUUCUCAAAAGCCGGUAGAGAAAGUAAAGAGUUUUUAAUAUCUUGGUUUUGGUAUUGGUCUCUAUUGAAGUCGAAAUCGAAUAAGACAUAUUGGGAAGGAAAAGGCUGCGUUGGUGAUCCUGUCCAAUAUUUGGAGGAAUAAUUCUUUCAGCUUAAAUACUAAGGUAUGCCCGUACCUUCUAAAUGUUUAAUACGUACUGCUUUAUGGAUGCAGAACUUGGAGAGUAACAUCUGCUUCAAACGUUCAUAAAUAGUAUUUUCUACGUCCAGUCUUAUAUUGAUAGGAGAACGGGACAUAAAUUAAUUGAAUUUAUAAUAGAAAUACGUAAAUAACCCUGAAAAAGCAGCAGCUCCAUUACAAGCCAAGCAAUACAGUAGAAUUCGUUCAACUUGGAAAGAUCUGGAGAGACCUGAAGUGCAUCUUCGAAAACCGGACACGAUGGCGCAGGUAUAGCUGAGGCCCUAUUUCUCAUAAGAGAUCACUCACGGACUUAAAGGCGGACAUAUAUACUACACGUGCAGAGCCUUAAAUCAAAAACCAAAAAAAAAAAGUGUACAAAAUUCCAAUAUAAUAAUUCUACGAAUUACUUAUUCAAAAAAGUGCUCUUAAUGGAAAUGAUAUGAAAAUAGAAAAAACGAAAUCUGGAUUUUUUGAUGCAAACAAAAAACAAAUACAAAAUGAAAUUAAAACCAAAAAUAUGUAUGUAUUUCGAAAGAAGAAUGAAAAUGAAGACGACAAUACCUCUUGUACUUCCAAAGGCUGCAUACAUUUGAUUGACAAACAAAUGUGCGGGCGAAAGAAUUUGAAUUAAGAAAAAAGAGGUUAUAAGUAGAGAAGAAGACUUUUAAAAAACAUUUUUAUAAAGAAAACUUACCGCAUG